CUAUGAUCUUGCAAAAAUAAUUCCACCACUCUAAGCUUCUGUAUCCUUGUCUGUAAAAGAGAAUAGCUAUUCCCACUUGGUGGGGUAUUGGGAGGAUUCAAAGAGGCAAAUGGAAAUUGCUUAACGCCGAGCCCGGCACUUGGAAGCAGAUAAUAAAUAAGAGGUCUGCGACCAGCCAUGGACUCCCUAUAAACUAGCCAAGGUGUCACAGGGCCCCCAUGAGCAGCCCUGGCCAGUCUUGAUACAGAACUCCAAACCUCACUGUGUCCUUGAAAGAAAACCCUCUCCCCAAAAGCACCAGUGAGCUAUCAAUAAUUUACUAAAGAUUCGCAGGAGCAGUGAGGACGGGCAGAUAGAACACAGCGCACAAGGUUUCCCUCCCUAAGACCCCGGAGAUGUGUCGUUCCUCCCAGCUCCUCUGGCUGCUUCUGUCCCCAUCAACUGCGGUGAGUUUCAUCGCCCCCAGCCUCACUGGCUGUGCCUCCUUCUCAGCUCAGGUCUCCCCCAGGGUCUCCAGCCUCCUCCAGCAUCUUAGUUCUACCCAGGCUCUUCCCCAAGCCAGCUGAGGCCCCUAGGGGCACCUGAAGCAGCUCUCCUUAGAAGGGAGGCUGGGGGGUUAUGGAUAGUAAAUCCAGUGGGUUUUCUCCUGAUAUAUACAGGAAAGGAAACAGGCUCGGAGAGAUUAUCCAAGCUUCCUGAGGACACAGAGCAGACAACUAGCAGGAGAGCAUCUCAAAUGGUCCCUUGACUCAAAACCCCACUCACACCUGUAGGGCUCCCCUAUAGGCUCCUGUAGGGACUGAGAUGGUUCCCCUGGGCCUGGGCGGCUACGCAGGAAGUUCUCCGGGAGCAUUUGGGAAGGAAGAAAGGAACACACACAUGGUGCUGGCCCCAUCAAGGAAAUGGCUGACCCCUUACAAGGGCAGAAUCACCCCAGAGGUGCCUCGGGGGAAUCUGGUCGCUCCCGGGUGGCCAUGCUGCCCGGCAGGAAGAGAUCCACCGCCACCCCAGCCCAAGUCCUGGUCCAAGCCGGCCGCCUCACCUGCAGAUGGGCUGAGGACCCUGCUUCGUCAGGAUUCCGUGGGACCGGGGUGGGAUAUACCUCGCACAGGACCCAGCAAGCCAUGGGUGCUCAACAAAAUGAAAAAAUCUUCCUGCCCCGAAUUCCGCUCAAGAAGAGUCCCGGCUGCAGUGCAAACCACCCUGCUCUCUCAAAGUUGGCAGAGAGUUCUUCAGAUCCACAGGAAGGACUUGAGCCUUGCUGCAGACUUGCUGCCGGGUGAACACAGAAGCCUUCCUGAAGAUGGCCCUUAGGGGCUCCUACAGGACUUCUCGGAGGAGGAGGAGGAGGAUGCAGAAGAAGGGAAGGAGCAGAAAGCAGGAUGGAGAGGGCAGACUCUCCGCCAGCAAAGGGGCGAAGGGGAACCGAGCAGGAGUACUGCUUCAGGACUAUUCACAACAGCCAAGACAUGGAAGCAACCCAAGUGCCCAUUAACUGAUGACUGGACAAAGAAGAUGUGUUAUAUACAUACAACGGAAUACUAAUCAGGCAUAAAAAAGACAAAAUUGUCCCAUUUGCAACAACAUGGAUGGACCUUGAGGGUAUUAUGUUAAGCGAAAUAAGCCAGUGAAAGACAAACACCGUAUGAUUUCACUCACAUGUGGAAGAUAAACACACGGAUAAAGAGAACAGGUUAGUGGUUCCCAGAGGGGAAGAAGGUUGAGGGGUGGGCAAAAGGGGUAAAGGGGCACAUAUAUGGUGACAGAUAAAAAUUAGACUAUUGGUGGUGAGCACGAUGCAAUCUAUACAGAAACUGAUAAAUAAUAAUGUACACCUGAAAUUACACAAUGUUAUAAACCAUUAUGACCUCAA
rnacentral:lncRNA from 1 species